rnacentral:lncRNA from 1 species
AACCCCAUGCGCGCCAGGAUGGCUGGCAGCCUCGCCGCAUCGCGCAGCCCUUAAGAGCGCCCGGUGUCCCACGGGCCGCUCCCCUCGGUGUCCACGCUCACUCCACGUCCUCUCCAGCCCGCAUACUGCAUCCUCUCUUGCCCGCAUACUCCAUCCCUUCUUGCCCGCAUUACUUUAACCAUCUCACCACACCCACUGCCCCAGUCGGGCAGCCUUCCCACCAUUCCUUUCUCUUCAGUAUUGAGUCUUAAAUUGGAGGAGAAAGUGGGUUUUAGUCAGGAUAGUUUGACAGUUCUCACUCUAGAAAUUUCUGGAAGUUGUCCAGAGUGCCUUCGGUCUACAGUCUUCUUUUCCGUACACCCAUAAUAUUCAAACAAGAGAACAUCCAGAAUGGUUGGUCACUCAUGCCUUUAAUCCCCGCACUUCAAAGCUGAGACAAGAGGACUACCUUGAGUUUAAGAGUUCAAAGCUGGGGCUGGAGAGAUGGCUCAGCAGUCAAGAGCACUGACUGCUCUUCCUGAGGUCCUGAGUUCAAAUCCCAGCAACCACAUGGUGUCUCACAACCAUCUGUAAUGGGAUCCGAUGCCCUCUUCUGGAGUGUCUGAAGACAGCGACAAUAUACUCAUACGAAUAAAAUAAAUCUUUUUAAAAAAAAGUUCAAAGCUGGCCUGGUUUACAGAGUGAAAUCUUAUCUUUAGAAGGAAAAAAUGACAGUUGAGAACCUCUUUAAGCAAAAACAGCAAGAGACACACUAACAGCCCUGUUACUAAGUACUCAAACGAGGCGAGAACAGAAGUCCCUGAAGAAGCUAUACAAAAGGCUUCCAAACUCAAAAGCGUGCUAAUGUCUCCAGUUAUGGAAGUAUAAGUCAAAGCCAAAGCAAAUUCAUACCUCAGAUUUUAGAUGGCCGUAUUAACUGAAACUGAAAACAAGCGUUAGUGGUG